UACAUCCACGUCCAAGGCACUCACUCCAAGUUUAGUGGAUGAGGAUGAUGAAGAGAGUGGUGAUGAUGAAGAGGUUGAUGCCGAGCUCUACAAAGAUGAUGAAGGAGCUAAUUCGCUCAUUGGUUCGGAGGAUGAGGAUGAUGAUUAGAGGCUUUAAUACAAUUAUAUAUUUAUUUUUAUUUGAACUUAUGACUUUAUUUUUUAUUAACUAGACAUAUUAUGCAUGGUUUUACUAUGAUUAUGAUAUAUAUUAUGUUUUUAUCUAUUUCUGCGUGAUAUAUUCAAAUAGCGCGCGAUGCGCGAU
rnacentral:lncRNA from 1 species